GUAAGGAAUAUUGGUCAAUGGACGCAAGUCUGAACCAGCCAUGCCGCGUGGAGGAUUAAGGCCCUCUGGGUUGUAAACUCCUUUUAUCUGGGAAGAAAUCCCCGCAUUCCUGCGGGGUUGACGGUACCAGAGGAAUAAGCACCGGCUAACUCCGUGCCAGCAGCCGCGGUAAUACGGAGGGUGCAAGCGUUAUCCGGAUUCACUGGGUUUAAAGGGUGCGUAGGCGGGUAAGUAAGUCCGUGGUGAAAUCUCUGAGCUUAACUCAGAAACUGCCGUGGAUACUAUUUGCCUUGAAUAUUGUGGAGGUGAGCGGAAUAUGUCAUGUAGCGGUGAAAUGCUUAGAUAUGACAUAGAACACCAAUUGCGAAGGCAGCUCACUACACAAUCAUUGACGCUGAGGCACGAAAGCGUGGGGAUCAAACAGGAUUAGAAACCCGAGUAGUCC
rnacentral:rRNA from 1 species